AGUGAACGCUGGCGGUAGGCCUAACACAUACAAGUCGAACGGCAGCACAGUAAGAGCUUGCUCUUACGGGUGGCGAGUGGCGGACGGGUGAGGAAUACAUCGGAAUCUACUUUUUCGUGGGGGAUAACGUAGGGAAACUUACGCUAAUACCGCAUACGACCUACGGGUGAAAGCAGGGGAUCUUCGGACCUUGCGCGAUUGAAUGAGCCGAUGUCGAAUCAGCUAGUUGGCGGGGUAAAGGCCCACCAAGGCGACGAUCCGUAGCUGGUCUGAGAGGAUGAUCAGCCACACUGGAACUGAGACACGGUCCAGACUCCUACGGGAGGCAGCAGUGGGGAAUAUUGGACAAUGGGCGCAAGCCUGAUCCAGCCAUACCGCGUGGGUGAAGAAGGCCUUCGGGUUGUAAAGCCCUUUUGUUGGGAAAGAAAAGCAGCAGGUUAAUACCCCGCUGUUCUGACGGUACCCAAAGAAUAAGCACCGGCUAACUUCGUG
rnacentral:rRNA from 1 species